rnacentral:rRNA from 1 species
CGGAGGGGGCUAGCGUUGUUCGGAAUUACUGGGCGUAAAGCGCCCGUAGGCGGCUUUGUAAGUUAGAGGUGAAAGCCCGGGGCUCAACUCCGGAACUGCCUUUAAGACUGCAUCGCUAGAAUUGUGGAGAGGUGAGUGGAAUUCCGAGUGUAGAGGUGAAAUUCGUAGAUAUUCGGAAGAACACCAGUGGCGAAGGCGACUCACUGGACACAUAUUGACGCUGAGGUGCGAAAGCGUGGUGAGCAAACAGG